rnacentral:rRNA from 1 species
UAGGGAAUAUUAGUAAUGGGCGAAAGCCUGAACUAGCAACGCCGCGUGUGCGAAGAAGGCCUUCGGGUUGUAAAGCACUUUUUGAGAGGAUGAGGAAGGACGGUACUCUCAGAAUAAGUCUCGGCUAACUACGUGCCAGCAGCCGCGGUAACACGUAGGAGGCAAACGUUAUCCGGAUUUACUGGGCGUAAAGCGCGUGUAGGUGGUUUGGUAAGUAGGGCGUGAAAGCUCCUGGCUCAACUGGGAGAGGCCGUUCUAAACUGCCGAACUAGAGGAUGGUAGAGGGGGGUGGAAUUCCGGGUGUAGCGGUGGAAUGCGCAGAUAUCCGGAGGAACACCAGUGGCGAGAGCGGCCUCCUGGACCAUUCCUGACACUCAGACGCGAAAGCUAGGGUAGCAAACGG